rnacentral:rRNA from 1 species
UCGAGGAUCUUCGGCAAUGGGCGCAAGCCUGACCGAGCGACGCCGCGUGUGCGAAGAAGGCCUUCGGGUUGUAAAGCACUUUGGCAGGGGAGGAAAGCCGUAAGGUCUGACCUAUCCUGAGAACAAGCACGGGCUAAGUUCGUGCCAGCAGCCGCGGUAAGACGAACCGUGCGAACGUUGUUCGGAUUCACUGGGCUUAAAGGGCGCGUAGGCGGACUGUCAAGUCAGGGGUGAAAUCUUUCGGCUUAACCGGAAAACAGCUUUUGAUACUGACAGUCUCGAGGGAGGUAGGGGCAUGCGGAACUUCCGGUGGAGCGGUGAAAUGCGUUGAUAUCGGAAGGAACUCCGGUGGCGAAAGCGGCGUGCUGGAUCUCUUCUGACGCUGAGGCGCGAAAGCUAGGGGAGCAAACGGGAUUAGAUACCCCUGUAGUCC